rnacentral:lncRNA from 1 species
CUAGUGAGCUCUCACAAUCCAUCAAUGAUAUUUAGUUGUAUAUAACAGUAACCCAAUAGAACCGAAAAAGAAUCUCAAGGUGUAGUACUUGUAUGAUCUAGUUUCUUUAUUGUGAGUCCUGACUUGAUGGCAGAUCUUAGAUAAAUCAUCAAAUCUCAACAUCAGUCAUACAAUAGAUUCAAUCAGCUCAAGUCCAAAAGUGAUUUGUAUGAAAAUUCCUUUCC